ACGCACGCUGGCGGCGUGCUUAACACCUGCAAGUCGAACGGAAAGACCCUGCUUUUGUGGGGUGCUCGAGUGGCGAACGGGUGAGUAACACGCGAGUAACCUGCCCUUGACUUUGGGAUAACUUCAGGAAACUGGGGCUAAUACCGGAUAGGAGCUCCUGCUGCAUGGUGGGGGUUGGAAAGUUUCGGCGGUUGGGGAUGGACUCGCGGCUUAUCAGCUUGUUGGUGGGGUAGUGGCUUACCAAGGCUUUGACGGGUAGCCGGCCUGAGAGGGUGACCGGCCACAUUGGGACUGAGAUACGGCCCAGACUCCUACGGGAGGCAGCAGUGGGGAAUAUUGCACAAUGGGCGGAAGCCUGAUGCAGCAACGCCGCGUGCGGGAUGACGGCCUUCGGGUUGUAAACCGCUUUCGCCUGUGACGAAGCGUGAGUGACGGUAAUGGGUAAAGAAGCACCGGCUAACUACGUG
rnacentral:rRNA from 1 species